rnacentral:lncRNA from 1 species
CUACAUCUCUUCCAGAAAGAGAAGGUCAAGAGUACUCUCGGCUCAGAGACGACAUCACCAGAGGCAAGAAAACCAUGAGGGAGAUAUCCAGUUCGUUGAGGGACGUUGCAACGAAGCCUUGGAAGACCGAGAACAAAAAAAUCUCAAUGGAAGAGUACUGUGAGCUCUUUAGGCGGCAUAACUUCGUCGGGACUAGGUACCCGCAUCCAGAGACGAUGGUGGAGCUCGGUAUCUUCGAUGACAUCGAGUAUCUCUGUGAGCAGGCCAGUCUGUUCACUCUCAUGAACCGUCCCUACAGCGCCUACAAGGAGGAAACAAUCCAGUU